rnacentral:tRNA from 1 species
GUGUACUUAGCUCAAUGGUUAGUGCAUCACUGAUCAUGAAUGCUGAGUAUGUGAGUUUGACUCUCACAGUACACG